CCAAUUAUCAUUACAAUACACGCAUUGUUUGCGUUCUUCAGACCAGUAAAUAUGUGGUUGCAAGCUAAUUCCUCGCUUAAAUGAGCUAUUGUAUUGAAACAUCAGUAGUCAUGUUUUGGGCAGUGAAACAGCAUCGUUAUUUUAAAUAGUUCGUGCUCUGAAAGCACUGCUUUCGUAUCGGCUCUGUGAAGGACAGCAUCUCGAUGUCUCCGAGAUCAGCCGCCAGCCCGACGUAUGCAUUCCUGGCAGUGAGGGGGAAAAAGCGAGCACAUGUUCGAAUUAAACAAAAGUGAUGAACCUAUGAGGCAAGAUGAGAAACUUCUUGGACCCCACGACUCUCUGCUGUUGGCAUACUUAUGAGGACACGGGAGGGAAUUCUCUGGUUCAAGAAAAGCAUGGUGCUGGCUGAGCUGCGACUCAAUCAUGAUGUGGAGAUGUUUCUCAUUACAAACCCACAGAUUCUGUAUUGGAGAAGUUCAAAGAGAUUGAAGAUAGCACUCACUCCCGGGCAUGUCUGCAUCAUUCAAAGUCUGGAAUCAACUGCUAGCCUGUACAAUACAACAGCUAGCCUGUACAAUACAACAGCUCUCUGAUCCUUGGUGCAUAGUCCUCAUGGAUAUUCCAGCAAAUCCUUGUCAUACACAUAUCUUUGUUUUAUCUGGUCGUCAUGAUUUUGAAGAGCUGCAUUGCUGCAAACACAACGUUGCCCCAAGAAGAGAGUUAGCAACAUGUACAUCCACUUGAGGGACUGCAACUAGACAUUUAUGCUGCCCUUGGAUAUUCCGCUCCAAUAUUUGCAACAAGCCUCUUAAGGAAUCUGCACAUCUGAACGUGAAGUUGCCCAACAGAGGGAUGCCAGUGUUCAUGUUCAGUGCUUGAGAAACAGCACAAUUCAUAGCAAAAAUUGACACCCAUCACAUCAUUUACAGGAAGACAGUCACAAGAACCGCUUCACAAACACUUUGAUUCUUGAAAAACAGUACAUCAUCGCAGUAGAGCAAGUAAUCUGAACAUUUGAACUUGAAUUUUAUGGCCAGCAGAGGGAUACAGAGACCAUGGGUUGCAUCCAUCGUCACUCCUCGCAUCGCUUCCAGAAAAUAUAUCACAAGUAUUCAAGGGAUGUAAAUAACAUCGGCAAUGGCAGCAGGGCAGUGCAUGCAUCGUCACUCGAGCAUCGUUUCCAGAAAGAGGAUCACAAGAGAGGUUUGGCUGUCUUGUUUGUGUCAUGGCCCAAGUUGUGUCAAUGAGUCUGUGUCUGCAUUUCUAAGUAUGCAGAAAGUUUUGCAUUGUUUUGUAGGGUGUGACUGCUUUUUGGGGUACCUUUUCUGAUCUUUACAGAGGUAAAAUGGUUACUGGUAUGUUUCAGUCCAUCAUUGAUAAUCUAAGACAUUGUUUUAAAAAAUGAAAUAUUUGAGCAUAUAGAUAUUCCCCAAAAGAAUGUAAUGAAUUACAAGACAACAUCUUGAUCUAGAGAGUGACUCAAUGCUCAAUAAUGAAAAAUGAUAACUUUUGAUUAAAAUCUUAGCUUAAAUUGUAAAUGAUUAUCUAUUAAUGUAAACAUACGUUCCUCAAAUAUUCAGCCCCAAGAUAAUGUGGUAUAGUCGUAUGCUUCAAAAAGCGCAUUCAUAUUGGUAGUGAAGCUCCAGAGGGUGGUGAUCCGAUAUUUGCUUCUGCAAAUUUUUUUCCAUGCUUUAUUAUGUUUGCUUGGGCUGCAAUUUGAUUUUACAUGGUGCUUUAACAUUGUGUUCGAACCAGGUUAGAGGUCAAGAAUUUGGAUUGUGUUUAAAAAUAAAAUUUGCACUGGAGCAGUUGUCGUCGGAGCAUGUGUUAUAAAAUCCAGUAAAGCAAAAAUAUUAUUGUGAGAUAGUGGAUACACCCAGGAGGGCAAACAUUACUGUCCCCAUUACCUUCAUUUUUCCAAAAAGAACCCCCCCCCCCUUCUCAAAAAUAAGGGGGAAAUGAUUAUGGUAUUACUGGAAGUGUUUCUUUCAAAAAUCAUACUUUUACAGAAAAUUUGGUUAUAUCAAAAGAUGAAAAGUGUGGAUUAUACCUACAUGUACCUGUUGGAAGUACUGAUAAGUUUUUCUUUCUGUGAUUCUGGUUUGUGUGUUGAAUGUUUUUGUAUGAUUACAGUUUGUUUGUGUAUGACCAUGUGAUAUGAUCUGAUUACUAAAUGGUUACCAGCUAGCCUUACUCAAAGCCUAGACCUAUUGAAAUAGAUCUAAAUGGACAAGCAAAUUUCUGCCGUUUUUUAAACCUUGUGGAAAUAAAUGACAAAUUAGAAUGUUUCAGUUCCAAAAACAGAUCUCUGGAGUACACUCUUAAAAGAUCAUCUGUGAGAAUUCUCACCAUUUUCUGUCGAUAAGCAGACAGUGGUCUUUCGUUCUGUUUUACGCUGUUCAUCAAGCGCUGUGGCAUUUACCCCCAAGGAAUGGCGUAAGAUGACACUGAACUGCCCCAAUCAGGCGAUGAUAUUACACAAUAUUUAGCUCUAUAUUGAUAUAUUCCAAUGAUAGCUCUUUGGCUGUGUGAGCAAACUAUACCAUGUUGCUUGCAUUCUUUUUGGGGGGCUGAGAGCCCCUUUAUGUCUACUGUCUCUGGGUCCAGCUGUGUGCAUUUGGGGACGAUUAUAUGCCCAGCUAUGCAGAUAUAUUUUUUGGCAAGUUGUGCAGGUAAUGGAAAAUCUUUGACAUAAUCACAGUACCAUGCCAAAGGAUCUGAUUCUAUAUUAUACUUAUGCACAGGAUGGCAUGUUGUUUUAGACUGAUCUCUUGGCCAUUGUUUUUGACAGCUCUAGAACUGGCAUUCAUUUUUUGACAGAUGACACUUCAAUUCAAUUCAUUUUAUUUUGCACAUUUAAUAAAAAUCACAUUAACAAACAUACAUAGUACAAAGCCAAUUCCAACAAAUACACAACAGAACAGCAGUAUCAGCAAGUAGGGGAGAAACAAAGGCCUAUCAUAGGCUUGUCCCUAAACUACAUGUAUAUGAGUAAUCAAAUAUGAAUUAUUAAAGUGGUACAACAUGAAGACAGAGAAAAACAAGGCAAACGUACUGCUUAACAGACUCAGAGGGUGUAUGUAAGAGUAGAUUUAUAUAUUUUUUUUAAACCGUGAUAGAAACAACCUAAAAAAUUCCCAGAUGUAUUUCUUUCCAUCCUCCCCCUCCCUGUACCCGUUUACAUAACGGCCAUGCACUUUCCUUUCCCCUGUUGAAGUGGUGUUUAAUGUCAAUACCACUUAGCAUUGCCUCGUGGUGUAACCACUCACCCGCUAUAAGAGAUUGGUUCUUUGCGCGCACGUAACCGUCCUGGGGGAUAAGCGCUAUUGUUUUGGGUUUUAGAUUAUUAGUACGAAACAAAAGGUUGCAAGCACUGGGGAGGGUUAAGCAACGUAAGAAAGGGUCGAUUCCACCUUUGUUUGUCUCUGUCAUACUGAUGUAUUUGAAAUUGGCGCAGAAAACCUUACAACUUUGAUGUAAGAUGUGAACGUCACUUUGACAAUAGUCAAGCAUUUCUUUCUUGAAAUCGAAAACAUAGUUUUCUUUGAACAGCACGUCGUACCAUGAAUGAAAUUCCAUCAGGGCACUUUUCCCCAUACUUCCAACACCGUAGAACUUUUUGUCUGGCAAAGGUCCUACGUAAUUUGCAUUUGCAGCGUUGUUGAAAUUCCCAAAUGUUUUUCUUUCCAUCCUCCUCCCUGUACCCGUCUACACUCUCUGCAGCUUUUUUCACAGUAGAUUGUAAUUGGGGAGAGGACAGAAGGAUACCACCAAAUAUCCCUUCCUCUUCAGGAACCUGGGUUACCUGGCUCUGCACCGUCUCAAGGAUGAGUAUGUACACUUUCUUCACCUCUCGGAUCUUGGAAGUCAUUUGUUGACUUGCCUUAUCUCUGAAGCAAAAUUAAAAUACAAAAUAUACAUGUAAGUUGUAGAAUUCAACUCAAUUCAAUUCAUUAAAUAUUCACGAUAUAAAAAUAGUAAAUGUACAAUACAAUAGAACAUGUUGACAUAAUCAUAAGUUAACAUAUUGUUAGGGGCAACCAAAAAGGAUAGAGAUCUUAUGAACUGGUGCCCUUUUACAAAAUUUACAAAUUACAAGUAAAACAUUAGUAAUAAUCACACGCAGACACAUCCAACACACACACACACAUAUCCAACAAACACACACACAUCCCACACACACACACACACACACACAUUCCCCCCCUUUUGUCUCUAACAAGAUAAAGAGAAGGGAAGGAGGAAGAGAGAUUACAUUAUAGCAGUACGAGGAAGACCAAAGAUGUUCAAACUGGUCCACACAUGAAUGAUCUUAUUGUAGACUGGUCCCUGUACCUCCCUGUACCCGUCUACAUAAUGGCCAUGCACUUUCCUUUCUCCGCCGUUGAAGUAGUGUUUAAUGUUGAUACCACUUGGUCUUGCUUCGUGGUGUAACCAGUACAACUCGCCCCCUGUAAUAGAUUGGUGCUUUGGGCACGCUAGCUCUUGCGGAAAUAACGCUUUUGUUUUUUAUUUGAGAUUAUUGAUAUGAAACGAAAGGUUUCAAGCACUGGGAAGGGUUAAGCAACGUAAAUAAGGGUCGAUUCUUCCUUCAUUUGUGUUUUGAAAUGCGCACGGAAAAUCUUACAACUUUGAUGUAAGAUGUGGACGUCACUUUGACGAUAGGCACUCAUUUCUUUCUUGAAAUAGAAAACAUAGUUUUCUUUGAAAAGCGCUUUGUACCAUGAAUGAAAUUCAGCCUGUGCACGUUUCCCCAUGCUUCCAACACUGUAGAACAUUUUUUGGUAAUUUGCAUUUGCAGCAGUGUUGAAAAGAUGGGGAAAGUACCCUUUCUUCAUUUUAUUCAGGCCAAAGGUUUUGGGCAGUUUUCGAGAGGGCCAUCUGAAAGAAAUUCAAGGAGUCUUCGACUUCUUUUUUAGGGUCUUUUGUUUUGAGGCUGAUGAUUUUGGCAUUAUUCAGUAUGUCUUGAGGUGGACUCCCUGUUCUACAAGAUGAUUCAAUGUAAAAAGUAAGAAUCGUACGCCUUGGCGUUGUGCGCUAUGGCUACGGAUUGAUGAUUUUCAACAGAAAACAACUACUUUGAAAAGUCAGCGAGGGUGGACUUGCCCCAGAAUGUGAUGGACCUUUUGUCCGGAGGGCCACAUCGUUCGCAAUGCUGCUUUGCGUGAUGUUUACUGUCCAUGCAAUUUGCACACUCCCAAGUGGCAUGGACAUACCAGUAGUUUGGAACAUGCAAACCAGUUUCCUGUGUGCAUUUGAAAUCAUUGCUAUUUCCUGAUUUUUUUUCUUUUGGGGUCGAAGCGUGGCAGGCUUUGUAUUUUCCUGCAGGAAAUAAGGGCUUUGGGGGGGGGGGGCACCUUCAUAUAGCAUUUAUGGUAGCGGCCAUCUACUGUCUGUUUGCAGGUAUUACAUUUCAUGUUUCGACAUUUGUGACCUGCCCUUUCAAUGCCUAUUAAGUCAGUUUUCUCGCAAAUUUGACAUUUGAAGUUUCUUUGGCAAGCAGUUUUACCAUAAAAAAUGUGAAUGGUAUGCAUUUUGAAACAACCUUCCAUAAGAAAAGUCACGUUGCAUUUAUCACAUACCAGGGAUGUGUUAACGAUCUCACAGAAAAUAUUACGAUCACAAUUCCUUGAUUAACAAUCUAAACGCAUGUGACAGCAGCUGUGAUAUCUGGGAUCGCGAUAUGUCUCAUGACACUCUGCACACACAAACCUUGCACAUACAAAAGCUUUGUGGUUCACUAUCACAGCGUAGUGAUUGCCCAUCAAAUACAAAACGAUGAGUUCACCUGCGGGAGGACUUGCAUAAAUGAGAGCUUCUUUGCAGGGAUCCCUAUAAAUCAUCAACCUACAAUCUGGUGAAAGAACAACCUCUGGUACACCCGCCAACCUGUGCAAUUCACACGCAGCCGGGAUAGCGCAAUUGUUCCUAGACCAAUUUCUGUACUUAUGGUGUUUUAGUUUUUGAAAUUUUGCAAUGAGGAUGGCUUUCGCCAAGUACAUACCAUCAUCACUAGCUGGUACUGUGAUAGAUUUCACAACAUGAUGGAAUCGAAUCGUGAAUCCGGGAUUGAUGAAAAAAAUCCUGGUUGCUAUUUAGCACCUCUUUGAGUCGUUCUAGAAAUGUCUAUACCACAAUCCCUCAAGGUGGCCCAGGGAAAGGAUGGGGAUGUUUAACUGAUCAGACACUAGUAUGAGUCUGACAUAAUCUCCCUCCGAUGUAUUUGCCAAUAUCAGCGUCUUAAGUUCAUCGAGAGACUAGCGAAUGUAUUCAAUCAUGCCUUUGAUCGUGGCAAUAGGUUUCAAAUCAUAACAAUCGUACCAUACCUCCUUAACCCCAAAACGUUCUGACAUCCUUUGGGCAAUGAUCACCCAUUUUGGAGAGGAUGGUAAAGUGCUUGGUAUAUCUGAGAACAUUCCUUCUUUCUCCUCCUCGGGAUAUGCAUCGAUGGAGGGGGUUGUGUUUUUUUUUCUUUCUUUCUUUCCACCAGUUGAAUUGUCAUAGUGUUUGAAUUUCUCGCCAAUUUGAUUUUUGCAAUCCAUGUUCCACAAAACUUUGUCAAGGAUUUGGUGAAUCCUCUUCAUUGGAAGAGAGGUGAAAAUUUAAUAUGAACGGAACAUGAUACUGACCAUUUGCCUCCUCUUGGCAGGAUCAUCCUGCAGGACCAGGUUAGUCUCAUCCAGAUCCUGGACACUGUCCAGAGGAUGGGAGGGAAUUCCUUCAGGAAUCCCUUCCUCCUCAGGAACCUGGUUAACCUGGCCCUGCAACGUCUGAAGGAUUAGCAAGCCAAGCUUCUUUAAUUCUCUAACCUCCGAUUUCAUCUGUUCCAGCUUAAUGUUGACUUGCCUAGGUUUUUUUGGUCCAGAUCCUGGACACUGUCCAGAGGAAGGGAGGGAAUUCCCUCCGGAAUCCCUUCCUCUUCAGGAACCUGGUUAACCUAGCCCUGCACCGUCUCAAGGAUUAGCAAGCAUACCUUCUUUACCUCUCUGAUUUCUGAAGUCAGUUGUUGUACUUUGAUGUUGAGUUGCCUUAUCUCUGAAGCAAAAUUAAAAUACAAAAUAUACAUGUAAGUUGUGGAAUUCAACUCGAAUCAAUUCAUUAAAUAUUCACGAUAUAAAAAUAGUAAAUGUACUAUACAAUAGAACAUGUUGACAUAAUCAUAAGUUUACAUAUCGUUAGGGGCAACCAAAAAGGAUAGAGAUCUUAUGAACUGGUGCCCCUUUUACAAAAUUUACAAAUUACAAGUAAAACAUUAGUAAUAAUCACAUGCAGACACAUCCAACACACACACACACAUAUCCAACAGACACACACAUCCCACACACACACACACACACACCCAAUCGCCCUCUUGUAUCUAACAAGAUAAAGAGAAGGGAAGGAGGAAGAGAGAUUACAUUAUAGCAGUACGAGGAAGACAAAAGAUGUUCAAACUGGUCCACACAUGAAUGAUCUUAUUACAUUCUUAAAAAUCCCUAGUCACUUUUGACUAGAAACUAGUCAAAUUUGACUAGAUUGCGGGGUGCAAUAGGAGCUUACUAGAUUCUAGUCAUUUUUACUAGGGUAAUCUAGUCGACAGGAAUGACUAGGGGGACUAGUCGAAACAUGACUAGGAAACAUGACUAGAAACUAGUCAAAUUUGACUAGAUUCCAGUCAUUUUACUAAGGUAAUCUAGUCGACAGGAAUGACUAGGGGGACUAGUCGAAACAUGACUAGAAAUAUCUAGUCAUUUUUCACAAGAAACUGGUCAAUUUGACUAGUUCCCAAGUAGAAUGUGAUCUGACAAUAGCACUAGUCAUUUCGAUGUGGUGAGUCUGGUCAAAUUUAAUGAUUUUGAUUAAACAUUGUACAUGUACAUCUUUCUGAUUAAUUUCAAAAUUGAGAUUUCAGAAAGUGUACUUAACAUGAUUAACUCAAACUUUUAGUAAAUUCUAUCACAGAAUUACUAUCACUGACCAUGUUCAUUAAUGCUGCAUGACAAGUGUGUGCUCCCUUUUCCAUGAAGCGUAAUCAGAUCACAAGCUACCUGCAUAAGUCAUCUUCAUUACUACAUCAAGAGAAACACACAGCAGACAAGUUAUUUCAUAUACAUGUAUCUAACUGAAAAAUUUCACUUCAAAAAGAUUUAUUCCAUUAUUGUGCAAAUUACAUAUCAUUACAUUUACACACUUACAGAAUCAUCAUGAAGUCAGAAAAUUACAACUCCUAACAAGAAUUAAGUUCUAGUUCAGUUUCAUUUAUACAAGUCUA